UUUUUUAUAUAAGGUACGUACAAUUUUUGUUUAUUCAGUUUCCCUUCGACAUUUGGCUGGGAUAAAUUAGAAUAAAAUUUUCAGAUUUUCCUUCUCUAAAACCCGAUUAAAAUCAGGAAUCUAGCAAUGUGCUGUCCAAGUCGUUGGUAUCGAGAUACUCCUUGCGUGCAAUGCUGCCUGAUCGACUGCAGCUAUUGCUGCCCCUCAUCAACUUGUUGCAAUUGCUGUGAAGGCUUUAGCAGGUUUUGCUAAGAAUUUAACUAACAGGUGACGGGGUACAAUAUUCCUGGCGGACACACACCAAAUUGACAAAAUUUAUCAAUGGUCCUGGAACUCGAAAUUGCGUAUAUUUAUAUCUAAACGACUGUAAGAUGAAGGAGAAUUAUUUUAGUUCGUUUUUUAUAUAAACCAAGACUGGAUUAUUAGAACUGAAACGAAGUAAGUCGUUUAGCCUAGUUUGGUCUUCCAUGUACCAAAUGAAAGGUUUGUUCCGCCGCCACUGCUGUGUUUUUGGGGCUUACAGAGUCAAAAACAUUUUGGACCGAAAAUAUGGCGGAUAAAGAUUAAUAACAAAUAUUUCAUUUAAGUUGCAGAGGCGGAGUUGCAACCUAAAUCCCGAAAUUUGAGUCCCUCGCUUUUGUAGUCUCCAAGAUCCAAGUGUUCAUACAGACGGGCGGACGAUAGUCUUCUACCUCUCCUCAGCCCCUAACACAUGACAAUGGAGUGGUAAAUUGGUAGGGCUAGUCAAAAAUAUUUUCUGCAUUUCAGUCACUCGACAUUCUAAGAACUUCUUCCCCACUUGACAUCGCAAGCAACGAAUCAAUAACAUUUCAUAGAAAAAUAAACAAAGAGUAGCUACCAACCAAAUACCAUGCAGAGAAUAAAGGAAAAAAAUCUGAACCGUU